rnacentral:rRNA from 1 species
UUCUGAAGGAAUAUGUGGGUCAAUGGGGCGAGAGCCUGAACCAGCCAAGUCGCGUGAAGGAAGACUGCCCGCAAGGGUUGUAAACUUCUUUUGUAUGGGAUUAAAGUCGUCUACGUGUAGACGUUUGCAGUUACCAUACGAAUAAGCAUCGGCUAACUCCGUGCCAGCAGCCGCGGUAAUACGGAGGAUGCGAGCGUUAUCCGGAAUUAUUGGGUUUAAAGGGUGCGUAGGUUGCAAGGGAAGUCAGGGGUGAAAAGCUGUAGCUCAACUAUGGUCUUGCCUUUGAAACUCUCUAGCUAGAGUGUACUGGAGGUACGUGGAACGUGUGGUGUAGCGGUGAAAUGCAUAGAUAUCACACAGAACUCCGAUUGCGCAGGCAGCGUACUACAUUACAACUGACACUGAAGCACGAAAGCGUGGGUAUCAAACAGGAUUAGAUACCCUGGUAGUCCACGCAGUAAACGAUGAAUACUAGAUCUAUGCGAUACACAGUAUGGGUCUAAGCGAAAGCGAUAAGUAUUCCACCUGGGGAGUACGCCGGCAACGGUGAAACUCAAAGAGAUUGGCGGGGGUCCGCACAAGCGGAGGAACAUGUGGUUUAAUUCGAUGAUACGCGAGGAACCUUACCCGGGAUUGAAAUGUAGAUGCAUGAGGCUGAGAGGUCUCUUCCCUUCGGGGCUUCUAUGUAGGUGCUGCAUGGUUGUCGUCAGCUCGUGCCGUGAGGUGUCGGCUUAAGUGCCAUAACGAGCGCAACCCGCGUCGAUAGUUACUAACGAGUUAAGUCGAGGACUCUAUCGAGACAGCCGUCGUAAGACGUGAGGAAGGAGCGGAUGACGUCAAAUCAGCACGGCCCUUACAUCCGGGGCGACACACGUGUUACAAUGGUAGGGACAGCGAGCAGCCAUCUGGCGACAGAGAGCUAAUCUAUAAACCCUAUCCCAGUUCGGAUCGGAGUCUGCAACUCGACUCUGUGAAUCUGGAUUCGCUAGUAAUCGCACAUAAUCAUGGCGCGNNAAUACNUUCCCGAACCUGGCAAAACGCCCGUCUGGU